rnacentral:rRNA from 1 species
UGGGGAAUUUUGGACAAUGGGCGAAAGCCUGAUCCAGCAAUGCCGCGUGUGUGAAGAAGGCCUUCGGGUUGUAAAGCACUUUUGUCCGGAAAGAAAUCCUCUGGGUUAAUACCUCGGGGGGAUGACGGUACCGGAAGAAUAAGCACCGGCUAACUACGUGCCAGCAGCCGCGGUAAUACGUAGGGUGCAAGCGUUAAUCGGAAUUACUGGGCGUAAAGCGUGCGCAGGCGGUUUUGUAAGACGGAUGUGAAAUCCCCGGGCUUAACCUGGGAACUGCAUUCGUGACUGCAAGGCUAGAGUAUGGCAGAGGGGGGUAGAAUUCCACGUGUAGCAGUGAAAUGCGUAGAGAUGUGGAGGAAUACCGAUGGCGAAGGCAGCCCCCUGGGCCAAUACUGACGCUCAUGCACGAAAGCGUGGGGAGCAAAACAGGAUUAGAUACCCUGGUAGUCCACGCCCUAAAACGAUGUCAACUAGUUGUUGGGGAUUCAUUUCCUUAGUAACGUAGCUAACGCGUGAAGUUGACCGCCU